UACGUAGGUGGCAAGCGUUGUCCGGAUUUACUGGGCGUAAAGGGCGUGCAGGCGGUUUGCUAAGUCUAGGGUGAAAGCUCCCGGCUUAACUGGGAGAGGUCCUUGGAUACUGGCAGACUUGAGGAGGGUAGAGGAGAGUGGAAUUCCCGGUGUAGUGGUGAUAUGCGUAGAUAUCGGGAGGAACACCGGUGGCGAAGGCGGGUCUCUGGGCCGGUACUGACGCUGAGGAGCGAAAGCGUGGGGAGCGAACAGG
rnacentral:rRNA from 1 species